CCUACGGGUGGCUGCAGUGAGGAAUAUUGGUCAAUGGGCGCGAGCCUGAACCAGCCAAGUAGCGUGAAGGAUGACUGCCCUACGGGUUGUAAACUUCUUUUAUAAAGGAAUAAAGUGAGGCACGUGUGCCUUUUUGCAUGUACUUUAUGAAUAAGGAUCGGCUAACUCCGUGCCAGCAGCCGCGGUAAUACGGAGGAUCCGAGCGUUAUCCGGAUUUAUUGGGUUUAAAGGGAGCGUAGAUGGGUUGUUAAGUCAGUUGUGAAAGUUUGCGGCUCAACCGUAAAAUUGCAAUUGAUACUGGCGGCCUUGAGUAUACGUGAAGUAGGCGGAAUGCGUGGUGUAGCGGUGAAAUGCUUAGAUAUCACGAAGAACUCCGAUUGCGAAGGCAGCUUACUAAAGUGCAACUGACGUUGAUGCUCGAAAGUGUGGGUAUCGAACAGGAUUAGAUACCCGAGUAGUC
rnacentral:rRNA from 1 species